ACGCGACUGGCUUAGUUGGUAGAGCAUGUGACUCUGGGUCUCAGGGCUGUGAGUUCAAGUCCCAUGUUGGGCG
rnacentral:tRNA from 1 species